CGCCGCGCGCAGCCCGCCGCGCCCCCAUCGCGGGCUUUCGUUUCCUAGGGAAUGGAAAGCGAAACUCAGCGGGGCGCCGGGUACGGAGUUCUGCGCCAGAGGACCGGGACCCGCCCAGUGCCAGAAGAGGAUCCACGUGGUGAACCAUAGAGCAGAAUCAAAAAAGAAAGUGAAACGUUUAUUCCUCAUUAGAACUUAAAAUGGCAAGAUCUAACUUUUAGACCAUUUACUGGAUUUCUGAGAUAUGCGAGCCUCUUUACUAAACCUAAACCUAAUUUAAUCUAGGCAACGGCCUCUUCAUGUAAACUCUAUUUUUGUCCCAAUUUUAUUGGUUGGAAUAUGUAACCGCAGGAGCUCCAGGCCUGGAGCUUGCACCUGGGACUUGGAUAUUUAAAAAAAAAAAAAAAACCCCACCAGGAGGACCAGAGGAGUGGAACAUGCCUGUUUAUUACUCAUGAGGCAGGGGAGCUCCAAUCGCCGCAAGUCUGAGCUGAAAGAAAAAGCUGCUGCUGACCGAGAGCAAGCAAUGUUUUAUAUACGUAGGAAGUGGGAGGGGUUAUCUCAUUGGGGGAGCAGCAGCCGGUGCUGCUUGGUUACAAGAGCAGCUAAUGUCCAUGGAAACAGCAGAGCCGCCCCCUGAAGGCGGAUUGGAGCAAGAUAUGCUGCUUGGUUAUAAGAGCUGGUUACAGAAGCAGAUAACGGCCAUGGGAACAGCCUAAAGUUCUUGGGAGCAGGCGCUGACGGAGAGCCCUUUGUAUACUGCCUUCUUUAUGACUGCUGACCAAGCAGCCAUCUGUCUUCUGAGUACGCAGAGGGGGCUACGUUCUGAAUUAACCCCACAGAAUAUUAAAUUUCAAAAAGGUUAAGUAACCUGCCCACAGUCAGAUUACAAGUGGUGAAACCAGGAUUCCAAAGGGGUCUGACUUCAGAAUCUUCAGUCAACCACCACUACCACCAGCUCUGAUUAUAAUUUUGCCCCUUCAUGUAAAAUACCAGUUCAGUGGAACUAGGUGGGCAUGCAGAUAUAUAUAAGAUUAAAGGGUCUAUAACAUGCACAUAUGAAAUAUUUAUUACCUCUUUAGAAUGUAUUUCAUAUAUGUAGACUUCUAGGGGUGGGAAGCAGAAGAGUUAUUUGCCAACAGCCUCAGGUUCCUGUCAAUUUUUUCAGGGAGGCAGAAUGAAAUCUCCGAAAGUCAGCCAGAUGUGAGGGUGAGAGGCUGCAGAAACCCAGAGCUGCCAGGACUUGCCUCAGGUGCUGGUGGGGUCUGCAAUAAGUUUCAGGAUGCCACUGGUGUUCUAGAUGUCACUGCUGUGGAUAAGAAUAUGGGAAAAUAGAACAAGAUUACCAUCAAAAUGACAAGGGCCAUUUGAGCAAGGAAGACAUUAAGCAUAUGGUCAAAGAAGCUGAGAAGUACCGAGCUGAAUAUGAGAAACAGAGGAACUAGAAUUUGCUUGAAUUCUAUGCAUUAAACAUGAAAACAAAGGCUGAAGAUGAGAAAUUUGUAGGCUAGAUCAAAGAUGAGGACAGAAGAUUCUUGACAAAUGCAGUGAAAUCAUCAACUGGCUCAAUAAGAAUCAGACUACAGAGAAGGAAGAAUUUGAACAUCAGCAGAAAGAGCCGAAGAAAAUUUGCAACCUCAUCAUUAUCAAGAGUGCAAGAGACAUGCCAGGAGGAAUUCCUAGGACUUCUCUGCUGAUGAAGCUACUGCAUCUGGUGCUGCCUCUUCUGGGCCCCUUUUAAAGAGGUGAAUUAAGCCAACCUGAGCAUAGAUACCUCAGCAUUGUUCCACAAUAAAAAAUUGAAGGAGCCAAAUUUAUAGUAAAAUCAGUAACAGUUUUAGAAUCGAGCUACUGUACUAAAUUACUGGCAUUCUCAGUGCUUAAAUAGAAAAUACAUGCACAGGGAAAGGAAAUAACAUUACAUUUUAUUAGAAUUGUGUUGUAAUUGGGAAAUUCAUUGUACAAAAUAGAAGCUAUAUUUAAAAUCAGUGUUAAAAAACACUUAUUAAAAAAAGAAAAUAUUAUUUGGUCAGGCCAAAGGUUCAAGUGAAAAAAAAAUCAUUGAGUGGGCUCAACAGAAUGAAGAUGACAAAAGAAAGAAUCAGUGAACUUGCAUAUUUAACAGUGGGAAUUAACCAAUAUUAACAGCAGAGAGAAAAAUAGACUGAAAAAUAUUAACAUGGAGACUGGGCAAAUGGUGUAGAUGAUAGAAGCUUUGUUCAUCCUCUCUUGGGACCACAUCAGUUGUAACAGAAACACAGAGCAAAGAACAAGCAAAAUUGCCCUGGGUCUAGAUGAACAGAAG